rnacentral:rRNA from 1 species
UACGGAGGGAGCUAGCGUUGUUCGGAAUUACUGGGCGUAAAGCGCGCGUAGGCGGCUUUGUAAGUUAGAGGUGAAAGCCCGGAGCUCAACUCCGGAACUGCCUUUAAAACUGCAUCGCUUGAAUCCAGGAGAGGUGAGUGGAAUUCCGAGUGUAGAGGUGAAAUUCGUAGAUAUUCGGAAGAACACCAGUGGCGAAGGCGGCUCACUGGCCCGGUACUGACGCUGAGAUACGAAAGCGUGGGGAGCAAACAGG